rnacentral:lncRNA from 1 species
UUUUCACAAAGCCACAGGAAUGUUCCCACUCUGAAACUUACUUUUAAUUGGAAGGAAUUCAUCAACUGUUUAGAGUAGGAGAAAAAAAAUAAACUCCAUCUGUUUGAGAGCAUAGUACUUUUUAGCAUAUGUGACUCAAUAGUAAGUUGUCUUGAAACUUUUUGAUGAUUUCUCUACCUUAAUAAGAACUGGAAAUCACAGAAUCACAGAAUUGUAGGGGGUGGAAGGGACCUCUAGAGAUCAUCGAGUCCAACCCCCCUGCCAAAGCAGGUUCCCUACACCAAUAUCUUCAGCACAAAGAGAAGAGGAUUCUAAUUUUUCUCUAUGUUCUUUCCUUUCUCUUCUUGCUGCACACUUAAUUUAUAUACAGAAAUUUCUAACCAUUGCCUAAGAUUUUUAUUAUUUUUUAUCCAGUAAAAUUAAAAUGAUUGCAAUUUAUGCAAUUAUUAAAGCUACAAACAUUCUGGGAAGAAAGGAUUCUAUCUGGGAGUAUCCAUUAUUUUCAGAAGAUGAAUGGGUUAAAUUCUAAUGUGUUACAAUGGAGUCCAGUACUGCAGAGGAAUCUAGUCAUCCCACAAUGAAAAGGAACACGACGUUGCGACAUAAAGGUCUCUGAACAGCCUGUACAAUUGUCAGUUGAUAUCACGUCAAUGCUAAUUAAGUAGAGAUGACACAACUUUUGUAAGAGGGUAUGGGGAAAGACAUCUUAACUUGGGAAAACUUGUAUUGUUUUCUUGAGUAAUAUUAUGCUUUAGGAAGUAUCUUAUUUAUAUAUUGCUUACCAGUUCUUCCUCGGGAAGAAAACAAGUACGUACUCAAACCUGAAAGGAAAGACAAGUUAAUCUUGAAUGCUACAGAAGUAACAUGAAACAAAUGGAUACUGUGAGGAAGGAAAACAAGUGUUCCUAUAAGGUAACAUAUAUAUACACCCAUAUAUACAUCAUGUACAGUGACAAGAAUGAAGAAAAGCUCUCUUACAACUGGACAAGCCAGCAACAAACUCCAAGACAUCAUCUGCCAACAAAUUAGCGUCACACUUUUUCAUUCAAAACAAGUGAAUUUUUCACAAUCUGGAAGCAUGUGUGUCCACAGCUGGUUGUGAUCAACUAUUAAACUGUAAAGACAGAUUCAGUGCACACUGACUGCCACAGCAGGCAGAGGAGCAUGAGGUCCCAGUCAAAUAAUGUGGAAGACAGACAAGAACCGCUGCAAGCUGAAGAAGCAAACAUGCAUAUUCACUGUAGAGCAAAUUCACUCCCAUCCAUUGAAUCUACUUUUGAGUAGUCCUUUUUUUAAUGGAGUUAUUUGCAGCUUUAAAUUCUAAAAUAAAU